CAAAUGAAAACAAACUCCAAAAACCUCUCACCAUCCUUGCAAUUCUCGGCUGGAACAAUGCAAAGCCAAAUCCCAAAGUAGAAACAUUCCCUUAGUCAAAAUAAACAUCUUUUGUGUUUGUUCAAAAGUGGUAAAAACUUAAAUGCACCUUAUCUCUCCCUUCCAAUGCUCCAUUUCGNUUUCUCCACCAAGACAACCCUUCAAAACCUUUUCUUCAUCAUACAUUGAUGUGAAUACACCCCAAGUAACCAAGCAUCAACUUCAAAACAAGUCAUGAACAAUAAACCCAAACAUAUGCUACUUCAACCCAACUAAAUCUUCCAUUUCUUCAAGUUUCUUUNCAAAAAUGAAAAUAAAUCCUAAGCCAUCAAUUCCAGCUCUGUCCAGCCACAAUAACAACCCCAAGAUCUGGUCCCAUCCUUGCUUCAAACAUCAAAACCGAAAAUCAAGAAGAAAGAGCCCAAACUACAACACUCACACAUUAAGUUAAACUCUUUUCAACCCAAAACUCACAUGGAACUACAUUUUUAUCAUCCAACCAAUUAAAAUGCAAAGAAAAACAUGAGGAAAAGCAGCAAAGGGAGAGGAAAACGAAAUACAAAGUUACUCAAACCCAACAUCCACCAUGGAAAUGCAAAGACAAGCUCCAAAGCUCAAGCUCCAAGCAUAAAAAACAAGCAAAUGGAAGAAGGAAUGAAUGGAUUUUCACCACCAAUGAGUUAAGACAACCAAGAGUAAGUCAAGGGAAGAAGAAAAUUUGCAUCAUAUCAUUGAAAGUGGCUCAAAACCGUAGCACCAAACAAGCACCAUGAGAGCAUGUUCAAAACAAGAGAAACCCUAGAAGAAAGAAGCAAAAACCAUGAGCUAUGGGUCUCUCUUUUGUGUGGCUCGGUUUUCACACCCCAAAUACCAAGAGUUUCACAUUUGGUGGGGUCCACACACUACAAAUCAGCCCUAAAGAGAUCACACAUGGCCCCCACAAUUGGUUUUUUACAAAAAUGCCCCUAAAAGGGUCCAAAACACCUAAUUCUAAUCAAGGGCUUCUAGAAAACGAAAUUACAACUUUAAUUAAAAUCUAAAUGACUAAAUAUUGAGUCUUGAAUGUGCCACGCCAUAUCCUAAUGCUCCAGAUGAUAUUUCCACAAUUUCCCUGUAACAAAAAAUACGCUUAAUCAACUCAAAAUAUCCAAAUUAGCGCAAAUACGAAUUUCCGACCAAAUUAAGCAGAAUUCGGAAAACGAAGAAAUAACAAACAAUUAAACACAAUUCCCUGGUUUAUUUAAGUGCAAUAAACUAAAUAUGGUUCAAGAAAUAACGACUCAUCAAAAUAGACCACACUUAGUCUUUUGCACUCCUGGGCAAAACCAAGACGAAAACCAAGGAACUACUCAGACAUCAGGGAGGUGACACAGACUCGACAGACAGACAACAAAGACUCACAAAACAGAAACAGAGUUGCACAAUUCUCACAAAAUCUGGAUAGUGAAAGGCAUAGGCAGAAUCCCACACAGAGUCAAUGAAAGCAGAUACUCACAUAAUCAUCCAAACAGUUCAGUACAUGGAAAACAGUCAAUAAGUUUAAGAGAUGAAUCAAAAGCAACAGAGCCUCACGAAUGCACACUAUCACUGUUUCUCUCAAGUGUCUAAGGUAAAUUAAUG
rnacentral:lncRNA from 1 species